rnacentral:rRNA from 1 species
UGAGAGAACUCGGGUGAAGGAACUAGGCAAAAUAGUACCGUAACUUAGGGAGAAGGUAUGCUGACGAAAGUGAAGGACUGCGCGUCCGGAGCAAGAGUCAGUCGCAGCGAAGAGGUGGCUGGGACUGUUUAACAAAAACACAGCACACUGCGAACACGGAAGUGGAAGUAUAGUGUGUGACACCUGCCCGGUGCUGGAAGGUUAAAUGAUGAUGUCAUCGCAAGAGAAGCAUCUGAUUGAAGCCCCAGUAAACGGCGGCCGUAACUAUAACGGUCCUAAGGUAGCGAAAUUCCUUGUCGGGCAAGUUCCGACCUGCACGAAUGGUGUAACCAUGGCCACGCUGUCUCCACCCGAGACUCAGUGAAAUCGAAAUUGCUGUGAAGAUGCAGUGUACCCGCGGCUAGACGGAAAGACCCCGUGAACCUUUACUAUAGCUUGACACUGAACAUUGAGUACAUUUGUGUAGGAUAGAUGGGAGACAGAGAAACCUGUACGCCAGUAUGGGCGGAGUCGACGUUGAAAUACCAUUCUGAUGUGCUUGGUGUUCUAACUUCGGAAGGAGGACAGUGUCUGGUGGGUAGUUUGACUGGGGCGGUCUCCUCCCAAAGGGUAACGGAGGAGCACGAAGGUUGGCUAAUCACGGUCGGACAUCGUGAGGAUAGUGCAAUGGCAGAAGCCAGCUUAACUGCGAGACAGACGAGUCGAGCAGAUGCGAAAGCAGGUCAUAGUGAUCCGGUGGUUCUGAAUGGAAGGGCCAUCGCUCAACGGAUAAAAGGUACUCUGGGGAUAACAGGCUGAUACCGCCCAAGAGUUCAUAUCGACGGCGGUGUUUGGCACCUCGAUGUCGGCUCAUCACAUCCUGGGGCUGCAGCAGGUCCCAAGGGUAUGGCUGUUCGCCAUUUAAAGUGGUACGCGAGCUGGGUUCAAAACGUCGUGAGACAGUUUGGUCCCUAUCUGCCGUGGGCGCAGGAAGAUUGAAGGGGAUUGCUCCUAGUACGAGAGGACCGGAGUGAACGAACCGCUGGUGAGAGGAUUGUAAUGCCAAUUGCAUAGUCCGGUAGCUAAGUUCGGGAUCGAUAACCGCUGAAAGCAUCUAAGCGGGAAGCGAGCCCUGAGAUGAGUCUUCCCAGACCUUGAGUCUGUAAGGACCGUCAGAGACGAUGACGUUGAUAGGUGAGGAGUGGAAGCGUUGCGAGGCGUGGAGCGGACUCAUACUAAUGAUCCGAGAGGCUUAACCAU